rnacentral:rRNA from 1 species
UACGUAGGGGGCAAGCGUUGUCCGGAAUCAUUGGGCGUAAAGAGCGUGUAGGCGGCCCGGUAAGUCCGCUGUGAAAGUCCAGGGCUCAACCCUGGGAUGCCGGUGGAUACUGUCGGGCUCGAGUCCGGAAGAGGUGAGUGGAAUUCCGAGUGUAGAGGUGAAAUUCGUAGAUAUUCGGAGGAACACCGGUGGCGAAGGCGGUCUGCUGGGGUAAUGCUGACACUGAUGCGCGACAGCGUGGGGAGCAAACAGG